rnacentral:rRNA from 1 species
AACGAACGCUGGCGGCAGGCCUAACACAUGCAAGUCGAACGGACGUAGCAAUACGUUAGUGGCGCACGGGAGAGUAACGCGUGGGAACCUACCUUUUGGUUCGGGAUAACAUCGGGAAACUGGUGCUAAUACCGGAUAAGCCCUUCGGGGGAAAGAUUUAUUGCCGAAAGAUGGGCCCGCGUUGGAUUAGCUAGUUGGUGAGGUAAUGGCUCACCAAGGCAACGAUCCAUAGCUGGUCUGAGAGGAUGAUCAGCCUCACUGGGACUGAGACACGGCCCAGUCUCCUACGGGAGGCAGCAGUGGGGAAUAUUGGACAAUGGGGGAAACCCUGAUCCAGCCAUGCCGCGUGAAUGAUGAAGGCCUUCGGGUUGUAAAGUUCUUUUGGUGGGGACGAUGAUGACGGUACCCACAGAAUAAGCUCCGGCUAACUUCGUGCCAGCAGCCGCCGCGGUAA